CCAGGGGAAUGAGUGAAGCUGCCAGCAUGAUCUAACUUUGAAUGACUUGGUGUGUUCAUCAAGGGUUAGUCAUUGCUAGGUCAUGCUGCGACAGCUUCACUUCUUCCCCAU
rnacentral:pre_miRNA from 1 species